GACGAACGCUGGCGGCGUGCUUAACACAUGCAAGUCGAGCGGAGCGGCGAACGGGUGAGUAACGCGUGAAUAACUGCCCCCCUCUCUGGGAUAACAGUUGGAAACGGCUGCUAAUACCGGUUCGUGGGGGAUGACUCGCGUCCUAUCGGCUUGUUGGUGGGGUAGUGGCGUACCAAGGCGACGACGGGUAGCAGGCCUGAGAGGGCGACCGGCCACAUUGGGCCGAGAUACCGCCCGAACGCCUACGGGAGGCAGCAGUGGGGAAUCUUGCACACCUGGGGAAACUCUGCUGCAGCAACGCGCGGGCGGGAUGUCGGUAUUCUGGUUGUAAACCGCUUUCAGCCAUGACGCGGUAGGGGCAGAAGAAGCACCGGCUAACUACGUGCCAGCAGCCGCGGUAAUAC
rnacentral:rRNA from 1 species